UUUUCGUACCACGGCGAGGCCGGAUUCCUGUUUUAUCAUGAAUAUUCAUUAGGCAGGGUCGGGGAAAGUCUCGAUUCUCUUAAAUAUUCAUAUCGAGGUGGGAAUGCACGACGCGCGCUAUACUCGCACAAAGUGAGAAGAUUUAGUUCACGGAGAAUGCAUAUGGAUUGAAACUGAAGAGCUGGAAGGAGGACAUUACAACAUCUCUUAUAUUUGCAAGAUGAAGCAGAAAGUCCCAUGCAGGAUGAUGCCUCUCUACCGUGGAUGAUGAAGGCAUUCUGGUUUGCAAACUCAGGAGAGGAACAAAGAACAGAUGUUGACGGGAUCAUAUCUAGAGAUGCGGGCCUACUACACUUCAUACGAGCAUGUGUGCUAAUAUACAUGAAGACUUGGGUUAUAUUUUUUCUGAAAACUAGGCUACAACUUUAGUGAUGGAUGCAGAAGAUAUCUACACGAGACUACGUCUUAAAGAUGCCACCCUCAUAUAAUGAAAGAGGACAAUAGAGAUGGGUUUAAACUGGAAUAUUUACAUGAUAUUUAUUUGUUAUUUGUAUUAUA